CAGAGGUCCAGGCUGCAGUGAGUUAUGAUUGUGCCACUACACUGACUCCUGGGCAACAGAGUGCGAUCCUCUCUUUCAAAAAAAGGCAUUUGGGUUUUUUGCAGUUUAGGGCUGUUACAAAUAAAACUUCUAUGAACAUUCCUGCACGGAUUUUUGUGUGGACAUGAAUUUUUAUUUCUCUGGGGUAAAUGCCCAGAAGUAUGACUAUAGGUCAUAUGUUAAGGUGUGCUUAGUUCUUUAAGA
rnacentral:lncRNA from 1 species